rnacentral:tRNA from 1 species
GGAGAGUUGUCAGAGUGGCCGAAUGAGCCGGUCUUGAAAACCGGUAUGCGUGCAAGCGCAUCGGGGGUUCGAAUCCCCCACUCUCCG